GCCAGGCGUGGUGGCGCGCGCCUGUAAUUCCAGCUACUCUGGAGGCUGAGGCAGGAGAAUCACUUGAACCUGGGAGGCAAAUGGUGCAGUGAGCUGAGAUUGAGCCACUGCACUCCAGCCUGGGUGACAAAGUGAGACUCUGUCUCUA
ensembl:misc_RNA Metazoa_SRP Metazoan signal recognition particle RNA